UACGUAGGGUGCAGGCGUUAAUCGGAAUUACUGGGCGUAAAGCGUGCGCAGGCGGUCUCUUAAGACAGGUGUGAAAUCCCCGGGCUUAACCUGGGAACUGCGCUUGUAACUGAGAGGCUAGAGUGUGGCAGAGGGGGGUGGAAUUCCACGUGUAGCAGUGAAAUGCGUAGAUAUGCGGAGGAACACCGAUGGCGAAGGCAGCCCUCUGGGCCAACACUGACGCUCAGGCACGAAAGCGUGGGGAGCAAACAGG
rnacentral:rRNA from 1 species